GCGGGGCUCACCGGCGACGUUGACGUCGCGCUCGGCACGAACCAGAACCAAACCGAACCCUGAACCUUAAGGCCUCGUUUGUUUCGCGUGGAUCGGAGGGGAUUUCGGAGGAUUAACCUCGCGAGGCCCAAAAUCCUCGCAAAGCCCCGUCAGCCCGUUUGGUACGCGAGGUUAGAUGGCCAAACCCCCUCGAUUCCCCUUCGAUCCACUUCUCCCCACGCGGUUCAGAACCCUCGGGCGGGGGCUCGAGGAUUUGGCCGCCCGACACUCGCCAAGACGCCGCCGCCGACUCCUCCCCAAGACUACGCGCCGCUCGACGUCGGCGAUCUCCUCCGGCGUACUGGACUUCUCCCCGGUGCCUGCCGCCCCGAUUCUUGGGAUCCAGUUGUCACGCCUAAUUUCGGUUCUCAAGCACCAAAAGAAGGCACAAUAAACAAGCCGAAUGGAUAAAUUUCUCCCAUGACACCAAGAGAUGGAUACAUUUGUUUGCAUUAUCUUUGUUGCAAAAUGAUGUUGUGGCUGUGAUGAACUGUUUGCUGUGAAAGAUUAUGUUGUUAUGAUAAAUUAUGAAUGCUGGGAUUUGGGAUUCAAAGUCAUGCUGUUAUGAUAAAUUAUGUUGUUGCCGUGA